rnacentral:sRNA from 1 species
AUCCUCCCGCUCGGGCUCUUAUCGGCGGUCCCAGCCCCUGCUUGAGAGCCUCCGGGUGUCACGGGCCCCUGAGGACACUAAAGCUCUCGAACCCCGAUGUGGACCCCGGUGCGGCGCGGGGCAGUCUGGCUGGGAACCCUGCUCGGCCCCGGAGAGGGGCCCCCCCGAGCCGAGGGGAGGAGCAGCGCAUGCCCAAAGCCCCCCGCGGGAAGUAGGAAAUCGACCGGCCAGGCGGUGCGCUUCGGAUCCAGCCAGGGCAUGUGCUCGGAUGCCCGCCUGGCUCGCAGGUUGCGGGAUGCGCUGCGGGAGGAGGAGCCGUGGUGAGGGUGGGGCCGGGGGCGGGCCAGGAGUGGGGGUCUUUGGCCGGGGUCCACUCUGACUCCGGUGUUUGCAGGGCGGUAGAGGAGCUGCUGCGCUGCGGCGCGGACCCUAAUUUGGUGCUGGAGGACGGCGCAGCGGCUGUGCACUUGGCGGCCGGAGCCCGGCACCCACGCGGCCUGCGUUGCCUCGGGGCCCUACUGCGCCAAGGCGGGGACCCCAACGCUCGAUCUGUCGAGGCACUGACGCCGCUGCAUGUGGCCGCCGCCUGGGGCUGCCGCCGCGGCCUGGAGCUGCUGCUGAGCCAAGGAGCGGACCCGGCGCUGCGCGACCAGGACGGACUCCGG